GAUGAACGCUAGCGGCAGGCCUAAUACAUGCAAGUCGAGGGGCAGCACGAGUAGCAAUACUUGGUGGCGACCGGCGCACGGGUGCGUAACACGUAUACAAUCUGCCUUUAACAGGGGGAUAGCCCGGAGAAAUCCGGAUUAAUACCCCAUAAUAAAUGAAACGGCAUCGUUUUAUUUUGGAAGCUCCGGCGGUUAAAGAUGAGUAUGCGCCUGAUUAGCUAGUUGGUGAGGUAACGGCUCACCAAGGCGACGAUCAGUAGGGGAUCUGAGAGGACUACCCCCCACACGGAUACUGAGACACGGAUCCGACUCCUACGGGAGGCAGCAGUAAGGAAUAUUGGACAAUGCCCGCAAGGGUGAUCCAGCCAUGCCGCGUGCAGGAAGACGGCCCUAUGGGUUGUAAACUGCUUUUACACCGGAGAAAACCCCUUCUCGUGAGGAGGGCUGAUAGUAUGGUGAGAAUAAGCAUCGGCUAACUUCGUGCCAGCAGCCGCGGUAAGACG
rnacentral:rRNA from 1 species